rnacentral:lncRNA from 1 species
GCGGAUCAGCUUGGGUCGCUGUCUCUGAAUGACAAUCUUGUCUCUUAAGUGUGUUUGGUGGAUUAGGAAAGAGUGCUGAAUGGUUUGCAAAAUCUAGACCUAGUUUUACUGGCAGAAAAAUCAUUACACAUUCCUUUGAGUGUGUAGUUCUAGUUUUAUUAUGCAGGGUUGGAAUUUCGAAUUCUUGGUAUGCUAUUCAUUUGCGUGGUGCAAGGUCUCCAGAUAUUUGGUAGAACUUGAUAGAUUUUCGUUGUGAGUGUUUUGUGUAACUCGUUUGAGAAUUCUAUCUUGCAUUUCUGCUCUAGUUUGCUCAAUGCUGGCUGUGUGUUGAUGUUAUCUAGGCUUUGCAUUUUUUUUAAUCCGUUUCACUUGGAGGGAAUCAUGAUUGUGGGCCUGUGAAACAUUUUACUUUGAAGCAUGGUCUUAGUUCCUGUUGUUCUUAAACCAUAUCCCUCUACUAUUACUCCGGAAUGAAACUGGUAAUAUGGGGUGGAUUGAGCAUUUGACAUUCUGUCAAGAGCUUUUAUCCUGUAGGGUGCUAGUUGUUAAACCUGGCCUAGUGAAUUAACUUUAGAAAUAUGAUGGUUUUUUUAUUUAAAAUGUAAUUUUUUAAAAGUACAAAUUAUAUAUUUAAAAAUUAAAAAUAUAUAUAUAUUUUUAUGUGAAUCUCAAAAAAAAAAAACUGAAACCAUCUCCAAACCAAAGACGUUGCUUUCUCUGCCUGCUGUGUUGAAAAAAUAGAGCUGUUUCACUCUCCCCCAGAACUAAAGCUAGAUAGAGUAGGCCAAUCUUGUAACCAAGGACUAAGAAAACCAAAAGCCAAAAUAGCUCAAAGAAAACCAAGGAACGAUUAUAACAAUCAUCCUAAUAUUCAUUUAAGAUUUUAUUCUGUCUUAAUUAAUAUUGUUUAUGUGUGUCAAACUUUAUUAUUAUUAUUAAAUACUCUAACAGUGAAAGAUUUAUAUUACUAUUAUGUUUAUUUUUGCAUUUUAUUCAAUUUCAUUAGGUGAAUUUUUUCCAAUAAAAAUAAUGGUGAUAAAUAAAAAAUAGACAAUACCUUUAAGAUGAGAAAAAAAUAUUUGCCUACUUUAAAAUAUCAAGAAUAGCAUAGAAAAUAGAUUUAGUUUGAAUAUGAUUUUCAUUAUGUUAUUUUUCUUUGAAUAUAAAACAAUACAAUAUGAGUAUAUUUUUAAUGUUGAAAAAUAUUCGAAAGUGUUUUUUUAAUUUUUCUUUGAAAAAAAAUGAAAAUAGAAAGGAUUUUUUUUUUUUAACUGAAAAAUUCGUUUUUCCAAGGGUUUUGUUUUUCCCUUAAGGAAUGUAAUCCCGUCAAUAUUGAAUAAUAAGCAUAUGCUCUCUGUAUUGUAGUCUCACCUACUUCCCAUUACAUAGUUCCAAUUUGCAAUUAUUGAUGGCUUAAUAUUUUAAUUAUGUCAGAUUGGGCCAAACUUAGAGGACCUGGGCUGUAAAGGAAAAAAGUAUGACAGGAGGAUGGGCUGGCUAGACAAGUUGCCCAACCGUCCAGCAAAAGUGAGAGAAGGCAUGUUGGGCCGAAGGACCAAACCUCACAACAAGAAAAAGAUUAGGGUCUGGCCUGGAUGUAUAAUUGGGCCAAAGGCCCAAGCAUCCUAAAAAACCAGGUUGUUAAUAUCGAUAUUAUACUAAUCUUAUUAAUUUUUAUAGUGUUUUUCUAAAAAAGAUUUGGUAACCAAUCAUUUUAAUUAGUGAACUAAUGCGUUUUAAAGGGGUGAAAAAAAAAACACAAAAUAUUGAGUGGGAAAUUAUUGUAAAAAAACUGCAAUAAUUAUUAACGAGUACAGUUAUGAAAAAAAAACAAAACACAAAAUUUAACACGACUUAACUUUUAUUUUUUACCAAGUCAAAAUAAGAUCACAUAAUAUAUAUUUAUAGUAAAUCUUGGAUCGUCCAGUAAGAACCUAGCCGCUCAUUAACUCUUUAUCAGAUGGGGAGACAACAUCCAUGAACUCCUUAUCAGAUUCUAAAGCAGUCAUUUCAUCAGGGGAGAGGCAAAUCUCUAACUCUAUACUUCCUCCACCUUCAUGUCCAGGAUAACCUGAUGCUUUCCCGCUGAACUUAUGUGCAUAUCCACUGCGAAGUGCCAAAGCCUUCCCCAGUCCAAAUUCAUUCCCAUACUUGUUAAAUCUUGGUGAGCUCCCCAUCAUCACACUAUGUGUAUCAAACUGCUUGCCUAUCUGGUAAAUAAACGGGGACUUUAACCACAAGUUGAGAAGUUCCCUUGCCUUUUCAUCACUGUGGCUCACCACAGCUUGAUGUAACUGCCAUGCUGCCCAUCCAAGAUUCUGCUCCAGCAGCUCACCUGCGGUUGAAACCCCAGCUCUCAGUGGCUGAAUUGAGGUUCCAAAGUAGUCAGGAGAUAACGGUGGAUUCAAUCUUGAACGAUUAUUGGUAGCCAAUCUGCAACAGGUUACUUGAUCAUGAGGUAGAUUGCGUGCGCGUGUUAUGCAUCUCCAAACAAGAGCAGACAGGGACUGGAAAGAUGAAAUCUUGUUGGUGUUGAACUCUGCGUUGGCUUUUGCUUUGAGUCUUGCAAUUGAUUCUGAUGAGAAGUGAAACAUCCUUUCCUUGAGUAAAGGUGCUUCAAACGGGCUUAAGAAUUGGUCAUGGUGGGUGAAAGGAAGACUCAGUGCUGGACCAUGACCGUCAGGAAACCAGCGGCUGAGAACAGGCGGGCGCGAUAUCGAGACAUCGUCUCCUUUCCCUUGAAAGAUUUCAGACCAUAUUAAAGAAAUGCCAGAAAGAGGAUCCAUCAGCGACACUGUGAUUAAUGGAACAUCCAAUGAAGAUGCCAUCAGUUAGCUCUGUCACUUGAAUCGUCAGCAAAGAUUUGGUGUGACCAUCAUGGUUGAGGGCUCUAUCAUGGUCGAAGAAUGACUGAACAACCAAUGGAACAUAAGUAGGUGAAAGGACAUCUGACGUGGUGAGGUCAACGGUUGCAUAGGUAAAUCUAGCUCCUGGACUGUUACUGCAGUCCACGAAGACCACGUAGGAAGGUGGGUUCUCACUCUUUGAUGUUGCAAGGCGUCCGGCAAGCGGGUAGAAAUGAACAAGAGUGAGAGAGAGGGACUGCUUGAGAUCUUCCAAGAAAUCCAUGAUCUUGAAGCCCUGUUGAUUUUCUGUUUGUGGUGGUUUGGCAAAGAGAAGUCCCUUUUGAAUAUAGUGAGAAGAAAGCAUAAGAAGAUCCCAUGGUGACAAAUAAUAAGGCUGCUGUGCUUCGUCUACGAUGUGCUUGGGCUUGAUAAAGCACUCUGAGAUGGGCGUGACAGUAGUGGGAUUCAUUGCAAGAAGGGCCUCGUCUGCCUACCUUGCCCUCUUUAGAUUUACAGCUUCAGCUUUUGUAGCCGUCGCUGAGCUAGCCUGUUUGACACGACCUUAUUAUUUUUUAAAGUUUGUUUUUAAAAUAAAUUACAUCAAAAUAAUUUUAAAAUACUAAUAAAAAAUAAUUUAAAAACAAAAUAAUAAUAUUUUUUUUCUUCUUAAAAGUUUCCACCCAGAUAUUGGUAGUUAAAAAACAUUGAUGUUCCUGGCAAUUUCCUUUUCUUAACCUGUUUUGUUUAACGAAAACAACCCGGCCAACAUUGAACAAGUAGCGUAUGCUCUGUGCUAUAGUUUCACCUACUACCCUUUUGACAAUUCCGCUGUAGGUGGUUGCGGAUCGUGAUUACAAAAAAUAUUAAAAGACAUAGUUAUUUAUUGUGCCAUGGUCGUUGUAGUGGUGUUUUUACUGUUUUAUCCUUAUAUAAAAAAGUUUUGUUUAGAAUUUGGGGCUUUUUUUUUUUUAAUGUUUUAAACAUACCUUUCUGUCUUUCUCUCUGUCUUUUCUUUUUUAUUUUGCCUUCUGCCCAGUCGGCAAUAUAUAAAAGGAAAGAAUAACUGAUUUGUUUUAUUUUUUAAUGGUAAAUAACUAUUUUACUUUUAAUGCGUCGUUUUGUUUUUAUUUGAUGGUUUUUUUUGUUAACACUACUAAGCUCCGUUCAUCCUAAAAUUUUAACAAUAUUUUAUUUAAUAUAUUUUAAGAUUCUUCGUAAAAUUCCAGUUCAAUCUUAUGGUCAUAUAAAAAAUUACGCUCAAUAACAUAAAACUGGUUAAAUUGUGUUUUUUCAUCAAAUUUUUGAAUUUCUUUAAAAAUUCUAAAAUUUUAAUCCAAGAUAAAGUAUUAUAUUAGAAGACUCCAAGUAAAUUUUCAAAAUUUUUUGAGAACUCAAUCGAGAAUUACAAUUUGUUUUUACAUAAAACAGUAAAAAAAUAUUAAUUAAAUCUUGACCUGGACUAUAGAUCAUCCGAGUCUUUACCAUGCCUCCGCUACUGAGCAGAUGAUCACCAUGUCUCCUUUUCUUUUUUGCUAAGAACACAAAUCAAUCAUUUACUCUGCAUCUGUACUGUAAAUGCAAUGAAAAGAUUUGUGUUUUUCAAUCAUUUCCCACAAAUAAUUUACACCUUCCUCAGGAGCCAAAGCAUUCACAGCAAAAAUCAUUUCCCACUGAAUAAUAUUUUGGUUUUUUUUCACCCCUUUAAAACGUAUUAAUUCACCAAUUAAAAUGAUUGGUUAGCAAAUCUUUUUUUUUAAAAUAUAAAAUUAAUAAAAUUACCUAACCUAAUGGUCAAUAUGUUUCACUUGGGUUGAAAGGCUAUACAUAAUAAUGAAUCAUAAAAUAAUUUCAUUCUUUAUAUUUUUUUCGUAAGCCUAUGAGUCACUUUACCUAUAUUUUAAAAUUUCGGUUUCAAUUUUCAAAUUCAAAAUGGCGUUUUGCUAUGAAGAGGAGAUGCAGGGGUGAGAUUGACUUAGGCUAAGCUAAGAAAUUAAAGAUGGAGCUGCAAACGAGAGUAACAGGUUGGAGGGUCACUUAAACAAAAAGUAAUUUAAAGAAUCAAAAUAAUAUUAUUUUGAUUAAAUUUUCUAAAAAAUAAAAUUUAAUAGAUUAAAAAUUGGGUUUGACCCGGCUAGUCAAAUUGUUUACAUAUUAAUUAUGAAAAAAAUAAUAAAUUCAUUUAAAGACUUUCCUUGAUAAUUUCAUUCGAAGUUUCAGAAUGUAUUUUAGACUUUCCUUGAUAAUUUCAAAUUUAUUUUUUCUAUUUAGUUGUUUACUUGUUAUUUACUGUGGAUAUUUAAGAUAAUUAAAUCUAUAUUUUCAUAUUUUAUAGGAUUCUUGCUUAAUAAAACUCCAUACUUUUACAACAAUGAUCAUGUUCUUAUGGGGUCUUUAGACCAAAUUAUUCAUAUUCUCCCCAAAUCAUCAACGUGCCUCCUUUCACACUAACCUCCCUCAGAGCUAAUUAUAGCAUCACCGUGUACCUCCACAAAAAAGAGAUAGAAGCCAUGAAAGGGAACAACACAACAGAAGGGAGGAGUUUAACCGUACUUCUUAAGGUCAAUUUAUUUAUUCAAGAGUCAACCAUUUGGCAUUUGAAAUGCUGAGGCUGGGAUUUCAUAUCAUGAAUUAGCAGCAAGUUGCUUGAUAAUAAGAAAGAAGAUUAGUUGUAAUCUCAUGUGAUUAACAGGGUAUUGGACAAAAGAUUUUUAUAUAUUUUUAACAAUUUCUGCUUUAUUUAUUCUUGCCCACAUGGACUUGCCAUAUUAUUUGUCACCAUGGGAACUUGCUCUGCUCUGUGCUAUAGUUUCACCUGCUACCAUUUUGACAAUUCCGCUGUAGGUGGUUGCGGAUCGUGAUUACAAAAAAUAUUAAAAGACAUAGUUAUUUAUUGUGCCAUGUUCGUUGUAGUGGUGUUUUUACUGUUUUAUCCUUAUAUAUAAAAAAGUUUUGUUUAUAAUUUGGGGCAUUGUUUCUUGGUGGUUGUGGUCUUACACUCGUUUUCUGGACAGUGGGAAGGGGCUGUCACCGGUGGAAGAGUGACCGUGGGUGGGGGUGUGGGAGAAGGGAGGCUGAGGUGGCCGUUACAGUUUCAGCCUUUUUCUCAAUUUCCUAUUCAAUGCACAAAAAUAUUCUCAAACUUUAUUUUUGCUUGCGAAUACUUAAUUACUGGUUCACUUUUGAAAUUUCAAUUAUUUUUGUUUUUUUUUCAAGAUUCUUUUAACACAUCAAAUAAAAAUGAAAAAAAUAAUAAAAUUCAGAUUUUUUAUACUCAAAUGAUAAAUUUUUUAUGCUCAAAAUACUCAAAUGAUAAAUUUUUUUUCCCUACAUUAUCUAACUCAAUCCUUGAUUCAAAGAAAAGGAGAUGUCCAUCAAUCACUUUUUAUGAUUAUUAUGACUAAUAAUGUUGAUGUUGGCUAUCCUAACAUUCUUGAUUUCUCAACUCCCCAUAUCAUAACAAACUUCAUCUUAAUAAUGAGUUUCUUGCUCGGAGUAGAAGAAUAAGAAGAAUACAUAUAUAGGCAUUUAUCAUUAUGAAAUGUCAUCAAGAGAUGUUUUGGUGCAUUGAAGGUUAGAUUUAAUAUUUUAAAUGUUAUUCUAAGUUAUCCACUACAACGAUAAUAAUUAAUUUCAAUUGCUUGUUGCUUGUUUUAUAAUUGUUUUUGGAUGGAAAAUAGAGCGAUCGAUUAUUCACAAAAACAUGGUGGAGAAUGAUUGUAAUUUCUCGGCAAGGAGGGAGGAGCUGAGCUGGUGUCUUGUUUUGCCAAUUUAACUCUUUCUUUUACGGUAUUUUAAUUUACGCGGGUGAAAUCACGUGCAUGCCAUUCCUAAGAUAGUCAACUGAUUGUAAUUUGGAUGAUGGAUGACUAAGACGUUUAUGUCAUCCAUCAGGUGUAGUACAUUCAUGAACAUAGGCAACAACAUUUUUUUUGGUGGAUGGUAGAUACUCCGUAAAUGGGUACACUCUAUCUUCACAUUCGCCUUUGACUAAUAUCGCCCCCGUGAUCCGAUUAUUCACCAAAAAAUAAGUAUGAUGAAAUUCAAUAUAAACAUUGUUAUGCUUGGUAAAAUGGUGAACAUAGAUUAGAUUUUUAUGAAUAGUUGGAACACAAAGAGUGUCACGUAAAUGAAAGACAUGAUUGAAUGAUUUAAGAUACAAGAACCCAGUAUGAGACAAAGGCAAACCUGAUCCAUCACCAAUUACCACCUCAUCAGUACCAUCAUAUUCAGAAUUAAUCAUCAUAUUAGAGAGAUCAGUGGUCUUAUUGUGAGAUGUUGCUGAGUCAACUAGCCACUUAUGAUUUUUUUGUUGAGAGGAAGCUACACAAUUUGCAGUGAAAUUAGAAGUAGACAUAUUGGGACAUUGUUUUGCUGUAUGACCCAGUUGAUCACACCAUUGACAUUUCGGUUUAAACCUCCUGUGACUUGAAUUGAAUGUCCCAUUUCGGUGGGGCCCACUGUGUCCACGAGAGUUAUGAGAAGCAACCAGGGGGCGCCAUUUAGGCUGUCUAGAAUUGGAAGAAACUGAGGGCUCCAUCGAUUAGAGUAAUUAAUGGUGGGUACAAACGGGGUUGCAAAUUAUUGCUCCAGCCGCCGAAGAUAAUUAUCAUAAUUGACAAGAAGGUUAUGAAUUUCUUUAAAUUUCAGAGAGGUCUCACAGGCAUAAAUAGGUGCUACAAUUUCUCUGAAUUCAAUACCCAAUCCAUUGAGUAUGUAUAGAUUUAAAUCAUCGUCUGAAACUGGAUGAUUAAUGAUCACUAGUUCAUCAGCAAUCACUUUGAUUCCUUGAAGGAAUUCAAUAACCGUGUAAGACCCACGAUUGCUCAAGGUCAAAUCUUCUUUGAGCUGCAUCACACGCGUUCUUGAUUUGCCCGUGUAUAAACGCGUAAGUGUUGUCCAAGCCUCAUGGGAUGUUUUGUAGGCAUCAAGAAGAGGGGUAAUGGUGGUGGAGGUGAGGAUGUCAUGUAGGAUGAGCUUGUCUUGACGAAUCCAGUGGGAAUUCGCAGCUUUGAAGGCAGUGGAAUUCAGUGCAUCAAUGGCAGAGCAUUUGCGCAUACCCGUUACAAAAUCAAUAAGGUCAUACCAAUGAACAAGGCUUCAAUUGAGCCCUCCAAUGAGGAAAAGUAGAGAGGAUGAGUUUUUCAUUGAUGGUUAUGGCAACAUUGAUGGUGAUGAUGGGUGAGUUUGGUGAGUCAGUGUUUAAUGCAGAGAUGGUUGUCAUUUUGCAGGAAGCAGAAAGAAAAAAUAAAAAAACAAGAAUGAUGAAUACUCGUUAGGGAUUUUCAGGCUCUGAUACCAUAAAACAACUAACACUGCAAUAUUAUUGUAAUACAACUCACACCUUUUCCAUUCAAUUCUUGUAAUCUUUAUACAACCCUAAGAACUUAAUUUUAGGGAUUCAAAUGUGUGUAACGAACGGAUAUUUACAAUAAGAAUCAAUAACAAUAUUUGCAGGAAUAACAUACUGAUUCUAUAGUUAUGGAAAGCAUAAAAUCUGGUAUUUCUCAUGGUGACAACUACACUUAAAUUGGAAAUGAUUUGAAUUCAUCAGUUUCCUUGAUAUAAUCAUCAUUUUUUGCAUGUUUUUAAAGGAUUGACAACUCAAUUUCAAAACCACGAAACCUAUGGGAGUUGGGACAUGUACUUGUGCAUUUGAACUGUUGUUACUCAAUUUCGGACCCUCGCAUGCUGGAGAUGGUGUAUACCUCUUUUGAACAGAGUAUAGGAGUUUAGCUCAUGUUCGCCAGAAAAUUGACAAAAGCAUAAAAAAAAUAUUUUUUUUCGAAAGCCUUGUUCGAGCUGUUUUCUAUUUUUUUUUUAUCCUUCCCCUUUGCUACCAAAAUCAUCAGAUUUUAUUAGGUUGAUCAGGAGUCUUUAUAAUGCUAAAUUCGUUCCUUUUUUAUCUGGUCUUUAAGGUUGAAUAAAUCCCUCAGAAUUUGCACUAAAAAAAUGGUUCUGCUGCUGUGGCAAUUUUUUGUUCCAACUUAGGCUCUGAUUCUGACUCGGUUUCGUACGAUAUCUGACCAUCCUAGGUAUAUUUUGUCACUCAUGACAUGUUGAAAAAUUAACGUACACCUUUAUUAGGUCCUAGGGAUCAUUGUUCUUAGGGCAGAUUCUCAGUCAGAUUUGGAUGCUCAGCAUUGUCAGAUCAAGAACCUUUUUGACCAACUAGAUUACUACCAGUUUCUGUUCUGUAAAAAGAUUUUAUCUCACUUCGACUCCUUCAUCAAAGUUGUAGUCCUAGAUGCGUAGAUGAAUUUGAGCUUUUGAAUCACUUGAUUCCUAUAUCAAUGACUCAAGAUGUUCCCGUUUGAAUAUCUAACGUGAAGGUAGAGAAUUCUGCCGCGAGAAGGAUAUUGACCCAAGUCUGCACUAAAAAAACUCUAUUUUUGGCCUAGUUUUUGUGAUUUUUGUUCUUAGUUCAUACUCUCAGUUAUAUCAGGAUUCUUGGUAUUUGUCAGUUUUUGAGUUUAGACCUGGAGAUCCCUUUUGACCAACCAAAUUACUGCUAGAUUCUGUUCUGUAAAAAGAUUUUAUCUGACUUCGACUCCUUCAUCAAAGUUGUAGUCCUAGACGCGUAGAAUAAUUUUGGCUUUUGAAUCAAUUGAUUCCGAUAUCAGAAGCUCAAGAUAUUCCCAUUUGAAUAUCUAACGUGAAGGCAGAAAAUUCUGCCGUGGGAAGGAUAUAGCCCAAGUUCGCGGGGCUGAUUCGAAGGAUUUUUUUGGACCAAGGAUUGAAUUGAAAAUUGUUAAAAUGAGGGAUUGAAUUGAAGAAGGAUAUUGAAAGCUGGAGAGGGGGCUGGAUCAUCAUAAAUGACAUGAUUUUUUCCACACCGAAUAAGGAAAAUGAGACUUUGCGGCUGCACCCUCCAUCUGAUUUCUUUCCUUUUUUUCCGCUGCAAAUCCCUGUUGUUUUUCCUUUAUCAUCAUGCCUGGAUUUUGGAGCUACAACCACGUUUUUUCUUGCCUCAUUUCAAAGGGAGCAGCUGGCCCUAUGGAAGGAAAGAAAAUAGCCACACCCUCCUCUAAAACUGGAAAGAAAUCAGACGUAAAGCACCAGUAUAAAAUCAGAAUAUUGCAGCUUCCUUUUGUGUUUUUUUACUGCAAAUCAGUAGGGAUUUAUGUCCUAGGAUUAAUGCAUAGAAUCCUUCCUAAAUGGAGACAUAUUUAGACUAUAUAUAAGUUCCUCUAAUGACCUAACGGGGGCAGCAGAAAGAGAGCAAAAAAAUAGCAAGGAGAGGGCAGAAAAAUAAGAAAGAAAAAAAAGAAAUUAAAGAGAGGAGAGGAUAGAGAGAACACAACAAAAGAAAGAGAAGGAAAACGCAAGAGAGGCAGGUGACGGGGAAACCAAUCAUCUACCAGCACAUAGCUGGAAUAUUUCGUCCGUUUCAGCAUCUCUAUUUUUGUCUGUCAUAUCCCAGCAGCCAAGGAGGCACGCGUGAGCUGUCUUUCGGCCUUGUUUUUUUUUAUUUUCUGCAAACAGGAGCUGCAGUUUGAAGCAUAGUUUUGAAACCGGUCGACCCUCCGAGUUACGGGUCAGAUGGGUUGACCCGGGUUAACCCAAAAAACCUAUAUAUAUAUAUGUAUAUAUAUAUAUAAAAGACAUAACUAAUUACAAUACAACACUUACUUAAACCAAAUUUAAAUUAUAAACCAACAACCUAAAUUUAAUUUAAUAUCCAAAACACAAACCAAAUAUAAAUUAUAAAAUAUUUAAAACAAAACAUUCAACCACAUAAAUUCUAAAAUAUUAAAAACAAAACAUCCAACAACAUAAAUUCCAACAACAUAAAAUUAAAUAUUUAAAACAAAACAUCCAACAACAUAAAUUCUAAAUCAACAACCAUUCACUUAUGUUGAAUUAACACAUUAAGUUCUUCUGUCUCCAUGGAAGAAAAAUUUGGAUCAAAUGUCGAUGGAAUGGAGCCAAUCUCGUCAACACCUAAUAAAUCAUCAGCAUGCUCCUUUGAAACUUCAUCGUCACAAUCAUCUUCAAUAUCAUUAACAUUUAUGACAUCUACAUUUCAAACACAAUUAAAAAAAUAAAUAUUAUGUGUUAAACAAAACUUUAUUUUAAAUAAUAUUUAUCACUAAAUAAUAAUCAUUAAUUACCAUCAACUAAAGUAUCUUGUAUGGUCAUAGUUGAUAGAGCUUGGUGAAAACUCUCUACUUCUUCCGUUGUCAAUUGAUGGGUCAUCUUCGACUACCCAAUUUUCAAUGUCGAAAAUUGUCUCAACAUUAAUUGGAUCAUAAUUUCGUCCUUUCCAAUAAUUCCUAUAUAUUAAAAGUGAAGGUAAACACAAUAUAAGUAUUAAUAAUGCUACUAAAGAUAAAAUAAUAUUUAAGGAAUUAGAGAAAAGAAAAAUACUUUUGUUUCAAUCUUAGAUUGCAGUGGACGUAAACAAGGUCAUUAAGCCUUUGGUGCUCCAAUCUAUUUCUCUUCUUGGAAUGAAUAUGUUCAAACAUACUCCAAUUUCUCUCACAUCCCGAAGAACUACAAGUUUGACUUAACACUCGUAUAGCCAAUUGUUGUAGAUUUGGAGCGCUGGUUCCAUAUGUCAUCCACCAUUCAUCUAUACAAAAAAAUAAUAAGUAAAAGUGUAAGACUAUGUCAAAUAAUAUUUUUAAAUAUAAAAAUUAUAUACCUGGAGGCAUAAGGGUGCGAUUAUUUAUUGCGGACACUCGACCAAAGUCAUGUUCAACAUUCCUAAAAAACUUCAUCUCACUUCUAAUCUUACUUUGCAGUGGUAGAUUUCCAUGUGCAUACUUAUCAAGAACAUCUAGAAGUCCAGAAAUGGUGCUCAUAUGUUUAUCCAUUAUAUUUGCAUCAUAUUGAAAUCGAGGAUUCAACCAAAAUGCCGCUGCAUAAAGAUUUCUAUAAAAUUGUCCAUCCCACCGAUUAUUGAUAAUAUCUAUGAAAGGUUUCACUCUAGACUUUCUCUUUUGAAAUCUCCUCAUCAUUUUUUCUUUUGCAUGAUGAAUAGCAUCAUACAAAUAUCCCAUCGAAGGUCUAUCAUCACCAUCAACCAAUCGUAGAACUCGAACUAAAGAUUCACUCAUUCGCACAAUUACUGCACAUUCUUCCCAAAACAAAGAGUCUAGCACACUCUCAACAAACUUUUUUCCUUUGAUAUCUUUAGCAUAAGCAGAUGAGACCCAUUCCCUAUGUUGUUACUCAAUUUUGGACCCCACGUGCUGUAGACGGUGUAUACCUCUUUUGAACUGAGUGUAGGAGUUUAGCUCAUGUUUGCUAGAAGAUUGACAAAAGCACAUAAAUAAAUAUAUUUUUUUUGAAACCUUAUUUAAGCUGUUUUCUGGUCUUUUUUAAUCAUUCCCUUUUGCUACCAAAAUCGUCAGGUUUUCCUAGGUUGACCAACUAGAUUUACAGCCAGAUUCUGUUCUCUAAAACAAUUUUAUCUCACUUCGACUCCUUCAUCAAAGUUGUAGUCCUAGAUGCGUAGAUGAUUUUGUAUUUUUGAAUCGCUUGAUUUUGAUAUCAGAAGCUCAAGAUAUUCUCGUUUGAAUAUCUAACGUAAAGGCAGAUAAUUGUGCCGCGAGAAGGAUAUUGACCCGAGUUUGCACUAAAAGAACUCUAUUUUUGGCCUAGUUUUUGUGAUUUUUGUUCUUAGUUCAUACUUUCAGUCAUAUUAGGAUGCUCGACAUUCAUUAGUUUUUGAGUUAGACCCGGAGAUCCCUUUUGACCAACUAGAUUACUGCCAGUUUCUAUUCUAUAAAAAGAUUGUGUCUCACUUCGACUCCUUCAUUAAAGUUGUAGUCCUAGAUGCCUAGAUGAAUUUGAGCUUUUGAAUCACUUGAUUUCGAUAUCAGAGGCUCUAGAUGUUGCCGUUUGAAUAUCUAACAUGAAGGCAAAAAAUUCUGCCGCGAGAAGGAUAUUGACCGGAGUCUGCACUAAAAAAAAAAAUCUAUUUUUGGCCUAGUUUUUGUGAUUUUUGUUCUUAGUUCAUACUUUCAGUCAUAUUAGGAUGCUCGGCAUUCGUCAGUUUUUGAGUUAGACCCGGAGAUCCCUUUUGACCAACUACAUUACUGCCAGUUUCUGUUCUAUAAAAAGAUUUUAUCUCACUUUGACUCCUUCAUCAAAGUUGUAGUCCGGGACACGUAGAUGAAUUUGGGCUUUUAAAUCGCUUGAUUUAGAUAUCAGAAGCUCAAGAUAUUCCCGUUUGAAUAUCUAAUGUGAAAGCGAAGAUUCCUGUCGCGAGAAGGAUUUUUUUUCCAAGUUUGCAGGGACACAAUUGCAAGAUGCUUAAAGAUUGAAGACCAUUUGCAGGCCAAUUUGAAGCCCUUUUAUGGACCAAGGAUCAAAUGGAAAAGGUGUUAAAAUAAGGGAGUUGAUUGAAGAUAAAAUUAGAAGAAAUUUUACCGGGUGAUGAAAUUGAAGAACAUGAAUUAGAUCAGAAAAGGAAAAUAAUGCCUCCCCGUCCGCAAUUCUUUCUUUCCUUUUUCUCUACACAGCUACCCCGGUUAUCUUCUUUCCUUUUAUCUGCAAACCACGUUUUUAUUGCUUCAUUUUAAAGGGAGCAGCUGACUCUAUGGAAGGAAAGAAAAGAGUCGCACCAUCCUCUAACUAGGAAAGAAAUCACUGCUGAUCACAGAACCAGAAUCAAAUAUUCUGGUUUCCUAUUUUUGCUCACCCGAUAUUACACCAUAGAGUUAAUGUAAUAUUUGUUUCCUAAAUAAAGCCAUGUAUAGGCUAUAUAGAAGCCUCGGAUGCUGACCUAAAAAAGGGGGAAGAGGAGAGAGGACAGAAAGGAGAGGAACGAAAGAAAAAAAGAGAGCAGAGCUACAUUGUCGAAAGCAAAAAAAAAAAAUACAAAGGCAGGGGCGUGAACUCAACCAGCAUAACACACUUUCAUCAUCAUCUCCACGGAGAGGCAGGCAAUAGGAGAAGGAAAAGAGGGAGCAGAAAAAAAAAUGAAAACAGAAAAAGGAAGGAGAACAGAGAAAAACGAGAAAAGAAAGACAAGAAAAAACGAGAGAGAGGCAGGGCAGAGAAAGCCAUAAGAAGGAUACUGUCGAAAGCAAGGAAAAACACAGAGGCAAGGGCGACAACUCCACCAGCACAACACGCCUUCAUCGCCAUCAUCUUCGUUAUCUCGAGAGAAAGCAUCAGCAGAAGGAGAGAAAACGAACAGAGACCAAAACCGGCGUGGCCUAUCUGUUUCGCUGUCCCGAGAAGCAACAACCAUUGGCUGAGCGCAGAAGCUUCAGCACCUGUCAUCUCCGUCCGUCUCAGCGCCAGCAUUCAAGAAAAGGAAAGCAGAACAGAGAAGAAAGGAAAGAGAAGAGAAGAAAACAUGGAGAAGAAAGGAGAAAGAGGCAAGCAACACAGGAGAACGCCAAACGAACGCAAACAACGGAGGACUGAAAAAAAUGGCAUCGCCAACAGACCAGGUAAGCUGUCUUUUAUUCCCAGCUUUUGCAUGCAUUCUGAGUUGCAUUUGUUACUGUUCAAGUGAAAUUUAAUUCACUUAAACAGUAACCGCAAUGUGUAUUUUUAUUUUUUAUUUUUUGUUUUGUAAAAAAUAGAAAUCUAUGAAAAAGAGAGCACGUUUUGAUACCACGUUUUUGAGACCGUUUCAAAAGAAAAGGAGAUUUAUGAUUUUUUGUCAUAUUUAUUUUAAGGUCUGGUUUUUCUUUUGUAUUGUAAAAAAUAAAAAUCUUGCAUUUAGAAUACCUUGUUUUCGACGCAAAUGUGACAAAUAUACAUAUAUAGAAAAAUAAAUGGUUUUCUUGUGUAUUGCAUACGGCCAAUACCCUAACAUGUUUUGAAUGAUUUUUUUUUAUAUAUACAAAAAUAUUGGAAGUUUUAAAAAUGUGUUUUCGCAUGGAUUUCGUGAACAUAACAAAAAAAUUAUUUUCUUGCAUUUCUGGAUUUUACAACAUGUUUGUAAAACUCCAAAGGGUAUUGGUCAAUAUUCCAAAAAAAUAUAAAAAUCUUAUUUUUGGGGGAAUUCAUUUAUUAUUCAACGCUAAUGUUUGGAUUAAGAAAUCCUUAAAGGAUGAAUAUCCAAAAUAUUAUUGGGAGUAAUAAAUCCGCACACAUCCUUGAAAGAAGCCUUGAUUAUAAUCGAGGAUAUUUCAAAAAAAAAAUUUACUCCACGGUUUUACGAGUUGUGAUAGUAUAAAAUACUAAAAAAUAUAGGGGUUUUUUAGCGCUCUAGAUUUCUAGAUUUUUUGUCCCUCCUCCUUGCGAUUUACGAGUCGCAAACUCUUGAAAUACUAAGGGAAAAAUGAGCUUUCGAAGCACAUGGAAUCUCCUUGGAUUUCUAUCCUAAUAAAUUUUAUUUGAAUCAAACCUAGGAAAACUGAUGAGAUUAGAAAACACCAACACCAUAGCAAUUAUAGAGCAAACCAAACACCAAACAGCUUACCUUAGGUAGGGCGUACUAGGGGUGCUAAUACAUUCCCUUUACGCAACCAGUCCCUUGCCUUAGAAUCUCUGAAAGACCAGUUAGGGUUCCUAAUGACCAAAAUACUAGGUGGUGACUCCUUUUUUUUUUUAAAACAAAUAAAACCUGAAAUUCAAUCGACUGGUCGUCGCAACGCCGCGCUCCUCCGCGAGGGUGCGACACCCUAGAUGUCACCAUUGCUCUCAACUCAUCUUUAUAAGCCAAAAUGCUUUGCAAUGCAAUGAAAUUGGUGGCAAAACGAAUAGGAGCUGGACGAAGUAUUUCUUUUCCUCCAGUGAACUUCCUCAUCAAAUACAAUGGAUAACAAUGAUUAUAAAUAUACUUUGUGAUACCAGAAGCAUGCUCAACAACACAACAAACUGACUGCAAUUUACCAAUAUCUUGGAGUAUGAGGUUGAUGUAAUGAGCAGCAUAAGGAGACCAAAAUAUUAAAGGAAAUUCUUCCAUCAAUAACUUGCCAGCAGCAACAUAAUUUGCAGCAUUAUCAGUCACCAUAUGCACAAUGUUUUCUACCCCAACAUACAAAACAACCUCUCUAAACAACUAAUACAACAAUCUAGCAGUCUUUGAGACAUCUGAUACAUCCACGGUUUUCAAAAAAACUGUUCCUUUAGGACAAUAUACUAAGAAGUUAAUUAAAGUCCUCCACUUCUGAUAUGUCCAUCCAUCAGCCAUUAAUGUGCAACCAGUCUUCUUCCAAAUCUCUCGAUAACUCUCAACAUAAAUCUUCACUUCAUCAACCGCUUUUGCCAAGUAAUAACCACGGAUAGCAUGCAAGUUUGGUCCUUUAUAACCAGGACCCAUGGCUGUUACAACAUCUAUGGCAUGCUGAUAAUACACAGAGUUAACAACAUUAAAUGGCACACAUGCAUCAAACAUCCACUUCGCUAAAGCAAGAUCACACCGUUCAACUGCUUCUUUCCUUUGCCAACAAUUCUGAAGAGACUUCUGAGCACCAGGAGUUGUUCCCGGCAUGAAAUAUGUCCCUAAUGUUGCAGAUUUCUUCUGCUUUCCAUAACUUGUAGUUGAUUGUUUUACAGGUGCUUUGAAUCUUUUUUUUUUUGCAACCUUCGGUGGUAACAUAUGUUUUUUAGUAUUGACAUCCUCAUCAUCCUCCUCAUCAUCACCAUCACCAUCAUCAUCUUCUAAUUGCCUAAUCAUCAUCUCUUCAUGCUCUCUUUGUUGUGCAUUAAAUGGAUUGAAAUCUACUUGCAUUUCUCUAACUCUUUUUUUUGUUUCAACAUUUCCUAUAAGGUUCAAAAGCAUUUGAUGUCGAACAUCAGGAGGACAUUUGCGACAUUGUUCAACUUCUCCUUUAGCUCCAGCUAAAUGUUGCUUAAAUCGAUUAAUGCCACCACCCGCAAAUACUUUAGCACAAUAUAAACAUACUAAUUUAGUUUUUUUACAUCCGACACUAAGUUCAGGAGCUUCCCUACAAUGACCCCAUGCCAAAUCUGUCUUCCUUUACUACCACUUGACAUGGAAAUUGAAGGUUGAGAUGAUUGGGCCGUUGAAGGAUCACUACUUGGAGUACUACCAUCAUGUGAAGACAUUUUAAAGACCUGGCAUAAUUUAUAAGAUAUCACUGGAAAAUUCUUUCAACCAGAUUACUAAUUACUACCAUAAUUAAAAAAUAUUUUUCUUCAGGUCAUGUUUAAUCUCACCUAGGCAAAUAAGCAGGAUUUAAUGAAAUUAAUUCAGAUUUGUGCUCAAUAUGUCAUCCAAUUGCAGUAAAACUUAAAGGAGAAAAAUAACCUAAAGAAUUAAUUAUCAAUAUGCUUUUAUAACACAUGCUCUCUUAAUUUCGGCAUCUCUGUCAUUGUAGCUUUUGUGUAGCAUAUUCUAAGAGAGAAAAACAUUACUGAAUUGAGCAGAAUAUUCAUAGCUACUUGCAUAAUAUUCACAAUAUUCACAGCUACAAAUUGAGCAGAAGUAAACGAACAGGGACAACAAAAAAUUAACAACAAUAUUCACGACAAAAAUUAACAAGGACAGCUAACAAUUAACGAACAAAAUAUUCACCGUUGAAGAUAUUUCUUCAGCUGCAAACUAUUUCUCUUCACCGUUGUAGUUUACCACAAUCAAGGGCUUGUCACGAGGAACUUCAAGGACUUUUAAUGGCCACUGUUGGAUAUUCCUCUGCACAAAAGUAUCACUAAAUCUCCUGCCAAUCCACAUUGUCGCAUAUUUUAACAUAUAGAUGUCUAAACUCGAAAGCAAGAACAAUUAAAUUUGACUAAAUUUGAACACUAAUUAAGCAAUAUUAAACGAACAGCCGAACAGGGACAACAAACAAUUAACAACAAUAUUCACAGCUACUUGUAUAAUAUUCACAAUAUUCACAGCUAGAAAUUGAGCAGAAGUAAACGAACAGGGACAACAAACAAUAUUCACAAUAUUCACGACAAAAAUUAACAGGGACAACCAACAAUUAACGAACAAAAUAUUCACAUUUCACAGCAAUAUUCACAUGAAUCACAUCAAUAUUCAACAGAGAUAAAAGAACAGAGAGGCCAUUUGAAUUCGCAGAAAAAAUAAUAAUAGAGAGGCCGAGAUACAUACUGUGGGAACGAGGAAGAAUUGACGGGUCAACAGAGGGAAGAACCGAUGGAUGAUGGAUCAACAGACUGAAUCAUUGAACAGAGGGAAGAACCGAAGCCACUGUUACACAGAUGGAAGAAGAUGAACAGAUGGAAGAAAAUGAAACAGAGGAUAACGAAAGGCGAAAGAAGAAAGAAACAAGUUAAAGUUCAUCUAACCUUUUGCUCAGAAUUGAAACGGCGAUUCAAGAGUCUUCUGUUCUUCUUCGCGACUGACUGACUGAGAGUGAAAUGGGUUUAACAAUUUCAAAAUUAGGUUUUCUUCUCAAGUCUGCAAUGGUAUCGUUUCGUGACUUUCGUUCCUCUAGCCUCUGCUCUUGUCGUUUUGGUCUUUUAAUUGUUAAAGGCCAAAACGAUGUCGUUUCUGGCAUGAGAAAAUAAAAAUAAAUAAACCCGGGUCUCAACCGGGUUUGGCCGGGCCGGCCGGGUCACGGGUCGACCCGCCGGGCCGAGCCGGGUCUUAAAACACUGGUUUGAAGGAACACGCAAGAAAGGCAGGCGACGAUAUUCAAGGAAGCAUGUGUGAGCUGUGAUUUUUUUGGUCCCUAGUUUCAUUUUAUGCAAACAGGAGCUGCAGGUAUAAGCCCUAAUCUCUCCUUCUUUGUUAUUUUUAUAUUAAGCAUUCGGUUGUAAAGCUUUUCUUCCUUCUGAAAUAAUUGGUUUUUUUUUAGAAAAACCAAGGCUUGCCUACUAUUUUUUUUCAUGAAUUUUGAGUUCAGUUGCUGCCCAUGUAAAAAGGGUUUGUCUUUCAUGUUUAGGAAUUUUUACAUUUAGGGACUUUCCUUUUGGUUUCCUUACACCCGUUGGAGUAGAAAUUAGCCGGGUUUUUUUUUUUUUUUUUAGUGAUUUCUCCUAGUUUUUUUUGUUUUUAUUCUGGCUAUCUGCGCAUUAAGUUGGCUUUGAAAUUUUUAUUGCUUUAAGCUUAUUAUAAAUCUUAGAAUAUAUAUGAUGACUUUUAGCUUUUUAUUGCGAUUUUUCUUUUGUGUUUAAUUGCGUUGCUUGUGUUUUCGAUAAAACAAAUUUUAAAAAGUUUUCUUGUGUGUUGCAUACGGCCAAUACCCUAACAUGUUUUGAAUUCCUUUUAUAUAUAUAUAUAUAUUUGAAGUUUCGAAAAAGGUGUUUUCGCAUGGAUUUCAUAAACACAACAAAAAAUUUAUUUUCUUGCAUUUCUGGAUUUUACAACAUGUUUGUAAAACUCCAAAGGGUAUUGGCCAAUAUUUCAAAAAAUAUAAAAAUCCUAUUUUAGGGGGAAUUCAUCUAUUAUUCACCGCUAAUGUUUAGAUAAAGAAAUCCUUAAAGGACGAAUAUCCAAAAUAUUUAUUGGGAGUAAUAAAUCCGCACACAUCCUUGAAAGAAACCUUGAUUAUAAUCGAGGAUAUUUCAAAUUUUUUUUACUCCACGGUUUACGAGCCAUGAGAGUAUAAAAUACUAAAAAACAUAGGUUUUUUUAGCGCCCUAGAUUCAUAGUUUUGAAACCCGACCCGGUCAAGUGACUAGGGCAGAGAAGCAACUUGUUUCUUGCAUCAUGUUUCCAUUGGAGCCGCACCCUCAUCAGCAGCAGCACCAGCACCCUCAUCACCAGUAUCACCCCCCUCAACGGCAGCAUCCGGUUCAACAGUAGCAGCCUCUGUCUCACCCACAAUCUUAAAUGCAUCAAUCAACUUUUGGACGGUUUCCUGAUCCAGUAUAUGAAAUGCCUCAUCAACUCCUAACACAGCAACAGUGCAGACAUAACUCUUGAGUGUUUCUCCUUGUAAGGUUUCUCUGACUGCAAUGAGAGCUUCCUUGAUUAAAUCAUCCCUUGAAGAGUCACAAAAAUUCUCAAAUCUGCGUUCCAGGUAUGUCUUUGCAGCUUGUGAAUGGGAUCCUAUUGCAAAGGCCUGGUAUUCAAAGUAGUUCCCACUGGGACAAUUGUAAUAGGGAUUCAAACCUUUUUCGCUGAGAUUAAUGGUUAAUUGCUUCGUUCUUCUUCUUCUUCAGUUCUUUGUUCUUCUUCAAAUUUAAACGACAUUGUUUAAUGACAGGGAAAAUAAAAAAAAAAUUGACCGGGUCUCACCCGGGUCUGGCCGGGUGGACCGGGUCCCGGGUCGACCCUCCGGGUCUGGCCGAGCCAAUUCCCAAGCGGGUUUUGGCCUCCACCCGGCCCGGUCCCAUGCCCGGGUCGGCCCGUCGGGCCGGGCCGGGUUUUAAAACACUGCCUAGAUUUCUAAUUAUGUCAGAUUGGGCCAAACUUAAAGGACCUGGGCUGACAAGGAAAAAAUAGUUUGACGCGCGGAUGGGUUGACUAGACAAGUUGCCCAGCCGACCAGUAAAAGUGCGAGAAGACAAGUUGGGCCGAAGGCUAAGUUCGGCCACAUGGCCUAACUGGAUAGAUGAUUGGGCCAAAGGCCCAAGCAUCCUAAAAAACCAGGUUGUUAAUAUCGAUAUUAUUCUAAUCUUAUUAAUUUUUAUUGUGUUUUUCUAAAAAAGAUUUGCUAACCAAUCAUUUUAAUUAGUGAACUAAUGCGUUUUAAAGGGGUGAAAAAAAAAACACAAAAUAUUCAGUGGGAAAUUAUUGUAAAAAAACUGCAAUAAUUAUUAACGAAUACAGUUAUGAAAAAAAAAAAACACAAAAUUUAACACGACUUAACUUUUAUUUUUUACUAAGUCAAAAUAAGAUCACAUAAUAUAUAUUUAUAGUAAAUCUUGGAUCGUCCAGUAAGAACCUAGCCGCUCAUUAACUCCUUAUCAGAUGGGGAGACAACAUCCAUGAACUCCUUAUCAGAUUCUAAAGCAGUCAUUUCAUCAGGGGAGAGGCAAAUCUCUAACUCUAUACUUCCUCCACCUUCAUGUCCAGGAUAAGCGGAUGCUUUCCCGCUGAACUUGUGUGCAUAUCCACUGCGAAGUGCCAAAGCCUUCCCCAGUCCAAAUUCAUUCCCAUACUUGUUGAAUCUUGGUGAGCUCCCCAUCAUCACACUAUGUGGAUCAAACAGCUUGCCUAUCUGGUAAAUAAACGGGGACUUUAACCACAAGUUGAGAAGUUCCCUUACCUUUUCAUCACUGUGGCUCACCACAGCUUGAUGUAACUGCCAUGCUGCCCAUCCAAGAUUGUGCUCCAGCAGCUCACCUGCGGUUGAAACCCCAGCUCAGUGGCUGAAUUGAGUUUCCAAAGUAGUCAGGAGAUAAUGGGGGAUUCAAUCUUGAACGAUUAUUGGUAGCCAAUCUGCAACAGGUUACUUGAUCAUGAGGUAGAUUGCGUGCGCGUGUUAUGCAUCUCCAAACAAGAGCAGACAGCGACUGGAAAGAUGAAAUCUUGUUGGUGUUGAACUCUGCGUUGGCCUUUGCUUUGAGUCUUGCAAUUGAUUCUGAUGAGAAGUGAAACAUCCUUUCCUUGAGUAAAGGUGCUUCAAACGGGCUUAAGAAUUGGUCGUGGUGGGUGAAAGGAAGACUCAGUACGGGACCAUGACCAUCAGGAAACCAGCGGUUGAGAACAGGCGGGCGCGAUAUCGAGACAUCGUCUCCUUUCCCUUGAAAGAUUUCAGACCACAUAUUAAAGAAAUGCCAGAAAGAGGAUCCAUCAACGAUACUGUGAUUAAUGGAACAUCCAAUGAAGAUGCCAUCAGUUAGCUCUGUCACUUGAAUCGUCAGCAAAGAUUUGGUGUGACCAUCAUGGUUGAGGGCUCUAUCAUGGUCGAAGAAUGACUGAACAACCAAUGGAACAUAAGUAGGUGAAAGGACAUCUGACGUGGUGAGGUCAACGGUUGCAUAGGUAAAUCUAGCUCCUGGACUGUUAUUGCAGUCCACGAAGACCACGUAGGAAGGCGGGUUCUCACUCUUCGAUGUUGCAAGGCGUCCGGCUAGCGGGUAGAAAUGAACAAGAGUGAGAGAGAGGGACUGCUUGAGAUCUUCCAAGAAAUCCGUGAUCUUGAAGCCCUGUUGAUUUUCUGUUUGUGGUGGUUUGGCAAAGAGAAGCCCCUUUUGAAUAUACUGAACAGAAAGCAUAACAAGAUCCCAUGGUGCCAAAUAAUAAGGUUGUCUUGCUUCUUCUACAAUGUGCUUGGGCUUGAUAAAGCACUCUGAGAUGGGCGUGACAGUAGUGGGAUUCAUUGCAAGAAGGGCCUCGUCUGCCUACCUUGUCCUCUUUAGAUUUACAGCUUCAGCUUUUGUAGCCGUCGCUGAGCGAGCCUGUUUGACACGGUACUACUUAUUAUUUUUUAAUUUUUAAAAAAAUUUAAAAUAAAUUACAUCAAAAUAAUUUAAAAAUACUAAUAAAAAAUAAUAAAAUAAUAUAUAUUUUUUUCUUUCUAAAAACACUUUUCCACCCAUAUUAGUCAAAAAAACAUUGAUGUUCCUGGCAAUUUCUUUUUCUAAACCUUUUUGUUUAACGAAUAGAACCCGGUCAACAUUGAACAAGUAGCGUAUGCUCUGUGCUAUAGUUUCACCUACUACACUUUUGACAAUUUCGCUGUAGGUGGUUGCGGAUCCUAAUUACAAAAAAUAUUAAAAGUCAUACUUAUUUAUGUGCCAUGUUCGUUGUAGUAGUGUUUUUACUGUUUUUUCCUUAUAUAAAAACGUUUUGUUUAUAGCUGUAUUUUUCUUCUCUCACCGUAGGUGUUGUUGAUCUCUGAAUCCAUAUUUCUGCCCAUCGGACAUCAAAAAAAUUUGCAGACCCUGAGCUACAUGUCAUCAACCCAGAAUAAACUAAGUGUUCGUCUUAUUGUUCAAUUUAAAGUUCGAGUGAAGUUGUUCAUUUUAUAAAUAAGAACCAUGCUGUUCUUGGGAAAAAAUUGUAAUCUGUUGAAGAUAAAGAUUUCCGAUAAGCUAAUCAAUGACACACAAGUUCGAUUUGGUUCUUAGCCAAUUAAAAAAUUUCAUCCAAGUGUAGUUGAAGAGAAACCGAGGGUGGGGGUGUGGGAGAAGGGAGUGAGGUAGCCAUUUCAGUUAGAACAUGAUUCAAAUCAUGAUUGCUAUUAUUUUUUAAAAAUUAUUUUUAAUAUUAACGCAUUAAAAUGAUCUAAAAACAUUAAAAAAUAUUAAUUUAAAAAAAAAAUUUAUUUUUUUCAAAAAUAUUUUUAAAAUAUAAAAAUAAAGUGGCUUUAAACUUUUUUCUCAAUUUCCUAUUCAAUGUGCAAAAAUAUUCUCAAACUUUAUUUUUGCUUGCGAAUACUUAAUUACUGGUUUAAUUUUAAAAUUUCAAAUAUUUUUUUUAUGCUUUCCAGAUUCUUUUAACACACAAAGAUUAAAAAAAAAAUAACAAAAUUUAGAUUUUUGUAAUUUAAAAAAAGAUUUAAAAAUUGAGUUAUAACAAUGAAGGUGGAAUGCUGAUUAGGGUUUAGUUAGAAUUAAACUUUAGAUUUCAGAUUUAAGUGGGUUUAUGUUGAAUUUAGAAUUUAAAUUUGGUAUUUUGGUUUGAGGCUUAAUAUAUUAAAAAUAAAAAAUAUUGUUGAUACUAAUAUUUUUUUGAAAAGAAAAUAUGAUCGGACUAGAGUGUUUUUAUAUUUUUUAAAAAAUACAAGGUCAUUUUCACACAUGUUUAAUUUAAAAAAAAUACUCAAAUGAUAAUUUUUCUUCUUCUUCGUUAUCUAACUCAAUAACUCAAUCCUUGAUUCAAAGAAAAGGAGAUGUCCAUCAUUCCAAUAAUCAUUUUUUAUGAUUAUUAUGACUAAUAAUGGUGUUACUUAAUUUUAGAUGUUGGCUAUCCUAACAUUCUUGAUUUCUCAACUCCGUAUCAUUACAAACUUCAUCUUAACGAGUUAUAUAUAUAUAUAGAGAGCAUCUAUCAUUAUGAAAUGUCAUCAAAAGAUGUUCUAGUGCAUUGAAGGUUAGAUUUAAUAUUUUAAAUGUUAUUCUAAGUUAUCCACUAUAACGAUAAUAAUUAAUUUCAAUUGCUUGUUGCUCGUUAUUUAAAAAACAUGGUGGAGAAUGAUUGUAAUUUCUCAGCAAGGGGGGAGGAGCUGAGCUGAGCCGGUGUCUUGUUCUGCCAAUUUAACUCUUUUUUUAUGGGUGUAUUUUAAUUGACGAAGGUGGAAUCACACCCAUGCCAUUUCCAAGAUAGUCAACUGAUUACCGCGUGGUUUGCGCACAUGUGCCACAUGGCACGAUUGUAUUUCCCAGCGAUUUCUUGUGUUUUUCCCACCUGGUCUGAAUCCCAGAUAAAUACUUUGGUUAUUAGUUUGUUUAAAUUUAAUGUAUAUUGUUUUUAAGAAAUAAACAUCCAUGUUUUUUUAAAGGACUGAUAUCUAAAUUUAAAAAUUAAAUAUGGUUACAUUUAUUUUUAGCAAUUUUGACAUAAAUUGUUUUUAGAAUUUAAUGUCAACGAUGUUUACGAGUUUUUUUAAUUUUACAGAAUGACACCAAGAUUUUCAUAAGACAAUCAGAAAUUAAAAAAUAAAAAUAAAAAUAAAAGGCUAGUGUAAUUAAUAAUAACUAAAAAUAAUAAAUUGAAGAGAAAAUAAAUAAUGAAGAUAAUUUUUCAUAAAACAAUCAGAAAUUAAAAAAGUAAAAAUAAAAAGCUAGUGUAAUUAAUGAAAAUUAAAAAUAAUAAAUUUAAGAGAAAAUAAAUAAUAAAGAUAAUUUUUCAUAAAAAAGAAUUCAAAUAGUUUUCUUUUUAAACCUAUUAUCUAAAUAUCUAUAGCUAGUGUUUAUAUUUAGAAUCCUUAAUUUUCUGAAAUUACUGGGCAAUGAAUCUAAAUUUCAAACAAUACUUGUGUUCUUGUCCCUACAACUACAUCUACCGAGGGACAACAUUCAUUGUGAGCAUUAAUGGUUCCACAGAAACACUCACUGUUUGAGUGGCGAUGGUGCUUUGUCUAAAUCUUGUCGUUGUUUAGCAAAGUGACCGCUUCAAGCUGCCUCAUACGUUCUUCCAUACGACCAAGGGUGGGUGGUUUCUAAUGCACUCCACACAGUUGCGAGUCCCAUUAGCUUCAAACAACACUCUGAUUCAAAAAUCUUUCUACAAAAACACAAACCAAAAUCUCUAACAAAAUUCCAUUUGCAUGUCUGUUUGAAUUACUUGUAUGGCCAAAAAGAAAAGGAAAUUUUUAGAAGAUUGCAAAGAGGCACUUCACUCGCAGAAAUCACAUGUUUAGUGAAUGAAAGGAACAUUUAAGAAACGAAAUACAUACAUUAAUAAAAUCUAGAUACCCUUUGAAAAACAUGGUUCACCAAUCCAUUUAUACUGUUCGCGUAAACAGUGCAUUGAUAUCUUAGCCCUUUCAAGAAAAAUGGCAUCCUUUAGUAUUGGCAUAAUUUGGUAUUUUAACUGUCAUUAGUCAUUAAAAAUUAGUUUGGAGUAUAAUUAUUUUUUUCAUAUAUUUUUAGUAGGGGUGAGCAUUUCCGAUUCGGUCCGGUUUUGAGUCAAAAUAAAUAACCAAAUCAAUUUUUUUUUUAGAUUUUUGAACCGAACCGAAUCGAAAACCGGUUCAAACCAACCAGUUUCGGUUCGGUUCGGUUUUUUUCCCUUCCAAACCGGUCAGUUCGGUUCGCUAGGUUGAAAAUCUAUGAAAUGAAAUGAUGUCGUUUCUGUACAAGCCAAAAUAAACAAUUUUCUCCCUGAAAAGUAUGAAAUCUAGGGAUUGAUUCUAGCUUCAAGACGAAGCAGAACAAGUAACUGCUACCGCUUCGUGAGCUUCCUCUUUUUCUUCCGAGUUUGCUUGAAAUGUAACUCGACAGUAUAAAGAACUUGAACAGAGCAUGACAGAACAAAACCAGUAGCUUUGAGCUUUCAAUGACCAAGAGAAGGAAAACAAAAUCAAGAUUUGGAAGAUCGUAUCAAAAAAACUGAUUUUCCUCUCCUCCCCAGUUGAAGUAUAAGAUGAAAGUCUGGCUAGAGCGAAUAGAAAAAGUGGAUUAUUAAACUCACUGCCCGUCCUCCCUUUCCUUUCAAUAGCUGUUUGUAUGUGUGCCUCAGUACCUGUAUGGGGGAGGCUGCUGGGUAAGAAUCUUGGGGCUGCUAGUUAAGAAUCUUAAGAUUAGAGAAAGAGAGAUGCAGAGAGUAAAACAAAUGGAGGGGCGGCUAGUUAUGUGUUCAGGGAAUGCUCUUUUAGGUUUAGGGUUAGAAAAAGCUAUGUAUUUAUACUUGUUUUUUUUUUUUAAGUGUGGGCUUGGUUGAACCGGUUCGGUUCAAUCGGUUUCAAACUUUUGAAACCGAAACCGAACCGAACGGAUUUUUUUUGUGAUUUUUUAAUCGGUUAAUUCGGUUUUUUUUCGGUUCGGUUUUUUCGGUUAUUUUUUUUCUGGUUUUCUCGGUUUUCGGUUUAUCGGUUUUUUUGCUCACCCCUAAUUUUUAAUGCAAUAAAAUGAUAUAAUUACUUUUAAAAUAAUAAAUUAUAAAAGUAGAGGGGAGGUGUAAAAAAGUCUUUUUGUUUGUGUUAAUGAGGAAGUCUUUUUGUUUGUGUUAAUGAGUCGUGGAUUGACAAGUCAUUAGAGAAAAAAAACCUAAACUAUAGGGUUAGGGGCCUUUAGUUUUUUUUCACUAUUUUUUUUUUCUAAUUAUAUAAAGGGUAUACAUGUUCUUUUGUAUUAAAUAAAUAUUUUUCAAUCUUAAGAAGUUAUUGGUAUCUGCACAGUACGCGUCAUCAUAUAAGAGGUACUUGAAUACUUUAGAAAGAGCAUAUACUGCCUUGCUAUGUCUCUAGAUGCUUUGCUAUGUCCUUUUCCUCUCAAAGCAAUGAAAUUUGAUAUAAAUUCAAAAAUUUUGAUAAAGGCACAGUAAAUAGAACACAAGCAGCAACAACAAUAAAAUUUGUAGAUCAAUUCAAUAAUUGCAGUGUUAAUAGUAAUCGAGCAUGCAAUAGCACAGCUAUGCAAUUUUUCAUCUAAGAAAACAAAAAUGAAGAUGGAGAUAAGGCAGGAACUUACCUCAGUCUCUCUCUUUGUUCUGCAAAUCACCACGGUGCUGCAGCUUUGUUCUGCAAAAACAAAAACAAUAAAGACCCAUUAUAGAAAUUAAAUUUUGAGCAACAUGUUAAACAAAAUUGACAAGGGGAACGCACAAUACUUACUACUAUCUCGCUCGUGGACCUUUCCCAGCACGAAUCUCUUGGGUUUUUUCUACAAUUGUAACAAUGGAGGGACAUAUCGGUGAAGGUUUGUGUUUUCGAUCUUCGUUUGGAAAGAAUGGACAGAGGGGAAGAAGCUUGCUCUGGCGUUGGUGGUUUUAGGGCAAAAUAGAAAUGGAGUUGUAGCAAGAGAAGAGAGAGAAGAAUAGUUUGGGGAAGGAAAUUGGGGUUUAGUUCAUCAAUGCUAACAUUGAUUUGCAACCGUAACAGAAACAUUUGUGAGGUUAAGGACCGUAAUUGAUCUUGGUUACUAGGAAAGUUUCAGUGGUUAUAGAGAGGUGAAACGCAUGAAGGAACAAUAUAGGGAAGGUUGAAACUGGGUGUUUAGAUCAAUGUUAACAUUGAUCUACAACAACCUUCUGUGAACAAUUUGUUGGGUUUUUGUGGCCGUUGGGAAAUUGGGUUAAAGAGGGACAAAGGACACUUGGGAAAGUAAUUGCAAAUUUUCGGUGAUGACAGAAAGGAGAAACGCAUGAAAAGCAAUGCAUAAUUGCUUUUCACUUUUUGCAUUUCAACCGCAAUUUGAACUGGGACCCAUGUAAAAACAAAUUGUGGUUCGUGGUUAACCAAACAUGUUGUCGCACCCGACAUCGCGGCGGCCUUAAAAAUUAAUUCUCUUGAAUUAUGAAAAAAGAAUAGAUUUCUGGCAUCUGGUUCUUUUAGGGAAAAGGUCUUGUUUGAGGAGUCGCCACCUAGUAUUUUGGUCACUAGGAACCCUAACUGGUCAACAGAGAUUCUAUGGCUCGGGAUUGGUUACGUAAAAGGAAAGAUAUUAUCACCUCUUAAACGUUCUGCCUAAGGCAGACUGCAUUGCUGGUUUUGUCUUAAAUUGCUAAAUAUUUAUUAGUUUAUGUUAUGAUGAUUUAUUUAAAAUAUUCCUGACUCUGGCGCCAGUGAAUAUUUGAGCUCAAAUAAUUCCAACUCUGACGUUGGUAAAAAUUCGUAGCUACGAAAAUUAAAUUAAAUCAAUAUUUUUUUAUUCUCUACUCUAGCGCUAGUGAAUAAAUAAAUAAAAAUAAAUUUAUUUUAAGUAUGCACAUAUUUUUUUAUUUUUCUAGCUAAAUGAAAAAAAAUACAACGAACAAAAAUAAUAUAAAUUUAAACCGGUAUUUUUAUUCCUGACUCUGACAUCAGUGAAUAAACCAAUAAAUUUACAUUAUUUUUAUUCAUGCAUAUAUAUAUAUAUAUAUAUAUAUACAUAUAUAUAUAUAUAUACAUAUAUAUUCUGUUUUUUUCAAUUUUUUUUCAUUUUUCGGGCUGGGCCCAGCCCAGCCUGGUCACUGGCCCAAGCCAGUGACCAGGCGCCAGCGUGCGUGAAUUGUUCACGCACGCUGGCUACAGUCAGUGUUAAUUAAAUUUCAAAUGCACAGUAUUGGGGGAAUUAAAAUUGUAAGCAGGGGAAAUGAUGCAACUGACCCGUAACUGUUGGAGACAAAGACGAUGGCGAUGAAGACGUGGCGUUGAUGGUCGAACGGGCACUCUCUCCUCUACUUCUUCUUCUGUUCGUCUGCUGUUCUUUUUUUUUUGUUCUUUUUUCCUGCUUUCUCAGUCCUUGUGAUGAAGAAAAGAGGACGGUACUGGCUUAUCCUUUCGAAUUUGGGUUUGGUUUCAGUCUCUGUUCGGCUCUGUGAUCUGCCGAUUCUUUCCCCAGUUUUGGUGUUUCGGUUCCUGCUCUGCCCCCUGUUUUUUUCUUGUUUCAGUCCCCCUCGGUGUCUCCUCUGUCUUAUGCCUUUUCUUCUUUGUCUGUGAGUUCAGUGGUAAGGGGGGAAGGUGGUGCAACCGUGGUCGCGGCUUAGCACUGGUAGAAGGCGACAAUGAAUGGUGCAGUCGCUUGCCAAAAUUUGCUCUCUCCUCUGUAUAAUCUCCCUCUAUUCUCCUUUGGUUUGUUUCGGUUUCAGUUGUUUUGAAGCCGGUGCUGGUAAGGGGAAAAGUUCACUUCUGGUAUGGGAUUAACAAAAAACCUGAGUCCCUCUGGUCUAUUUGGGUCGGUCUUGUUUCAGGUUUUGUUCGUCUCUCUCUCCCUAACUCUCCAACCAGCCCCUGCUCUUUGGUGCAGCUCGGUUUAUAUAGAACUUGGUGGGUUGGUAACAGAUGGUAGGCUGAGGAUCGGCCACCAUUAAGGCGCUCAUAACUGAGGCCAACGGACGACGAUUACUGCUGCAACGUUUCUUCCUCCAUUACUGCAGCAACGGUCACUGGCUCAAAGGAGAAGAUGAACAGUCGACAGCGUCUUCAAAACGACGCCGUUUGGAGAUAAAAACCGGCCAUUUUACGUUUUGACCCAUGUAGUUUUAAAACUCUUAUAAUUAAGCCCUUGGUUUAAACUGUAAUUGGCCCCUGCAUUUGUGCGCCAUUUUCAAUGUAAUCCUUGGAUUUUAAUUUCGCAAUUUGGACCCAAAACGUUAAUAUUUAUUCAAUUAAGUCCCUGAUUUCAUUAAUUCAAUUAAAUCCAAGUUCAAUUAAGUCUCAAACCUUAUCAAUUCUCCAAUUAAACCCUUAAUUGGAUUAAUUAAAUUAAUUCCAAGCUUAAUUAAGUCUCAAAACUUAUUAAUUCUCCAAUUAAACCCUUAAUUGGAUUAAUUAAAUUAAUUUCAAGCUUAAUUAAGUCUCAAAACUUAUCAAUUCUCCAAUUAAACCCUUAAUUGAAUUAAUUAAAUUAAUUUUCAAGUUUAAUUAAGUCUCAAAACUUAUCAAUUCUCCAAUUAAACCUUUAAUUGGAUUAAUUAAAUUAAUUCUAAGCUCAACAAAUUAUAAUUCAUAGUUAACCAAACAUGUGUUACACUGCUUUUUUUUUAAGCGUAGCCGCACCAGCAUAUCCAAACACCAUCGAAAUUGAAUAGAAGUUGCGGCUGUAAAAGCUGAAGCUACAAAUCUGAAGUGGGCAAGAUAAGGUGAAGAGGAACCAACUAGUGCCCUUCUUACAAUGAAUCCCACUACGGUCAAACACAUCACAGAGUGCUUUCUCAAGCCCAAGCACAUCGUAGACGAAGCAAAGCAGCCUUAUUAUUUGUCACCAUGGGAUCUUGCUAUGCUUUCUUCUCACUAUAUUCAAAAGGGACUUCUCUUUCCCAAACCACCACAAACAGAAAAUCAACAGGGCUUCAAGAUCAUGGAUUUCUUGGAAGAUCUCAAGCAGUCCCUCUCUCUCACUCUUGUUCAUUUCUACCCGCUUGCCGGACGCCUUGCUACAUCGAAGAGUGAGAACCCACCUUCCUAUGUGGUCUUCGUGGACUGCAAUAACAGUCCAGGAGCUAGAUUUACCUAUGCAACCGUUGAUCUCACCACAUCAGAUGUUCUUUCACCUACUUAUGUGCCACUGGUUGUUCAGUCAUUCUUCGACCAUGAUAGAGCCCUCAACCAUGAUGGUCACACCAAAUCUUUGCUGACAAUUCAAGUGACAGAGCUAACUGAUGGCAUCUUCGUUGGAUGUUCCAUUAAUCACAGUAUCGUUGAUGGAUCCUCUUUCUGGCAUUUCUUUAAUAUGUGGUCUGAAAUCUUUCAAGGGAAAGGAGAUGAUGUCUCCAUCUCGCGCCCGCCUGUUCUCAGCCGCUGGUUUCCUGAUGGUCAUGGUCCAGCACUGAGUCUUCCUUUCACCCACCACGACCAAUUCUUAAGCCCGUUUGAAGCACCUUUACUCAAGGAAAGGAUGUUUCACUUCUCAUCAGAAUCAAUUGCAAGACUCAAAGCAAUAGCCAACGCAGAGUUCAACACCAACAAGAUUUCAUCUUUCCAGUCCCUGUCUGCUCUUGUUUGGAGAUGCAUAACACGCGCACGCAAUCUACCUCAUGAUCAAGUAACCUGUUGCAGAUUGGCUACCAAUAAUCGGUCAAGAUUGAAUCCACCGUUAUCUCCUGACUACUUUGGAAACUCAAUUCAGGCACUGAGAGCUGGGGUUGCCACAGCAGGUGAGGUGCUGGAGCAGAAUCUUGGAUGGGCAGCAUGGCAAAUGCAUCAAGCUGUGGUGAACCACAGUGAUGAAAAGGCGAGGGAUUUUCUCAACUUGUGGUUAAAGUCUCCUUUUAUUUACCAGAUAGGCAAGUUGUUUGAUCCGCAUACUGUGAUAAUGGGGAGCUCACCAAGAUUCAACAAGUAUGGGAAUGAAUUUGGACUGGGGAAGGCUUUGGCACUUCGCAGUGGAUAUGCACACAAGUUCAGCGGGAAAGCAUCAGCUUAUCCUGGACAUGAAGGAGGAGGAAGUAUAGACCUGGAGAUUUGCCUAUCCCCUGAUGAAAUGACUGCUUUAGAAUCUGAUAAGGAAUUCAUGGAUGUUGUCUCUCAAUCUCCUUGUUAACAGUCCAGCUAGCCGCAGAGUACUUAAUUUGCAAAAAAGCUGUACCAAGCAGAUGAUCACCAUGUCUCCUUUUCUUUUUUCUUUUUUGCUAAGAACACAAAUCAAUAAUUUACUCUGCAUCUGUACUGAAAAUGCAAUGAAAAGAUUUGUGUUUUUCAAUCAUUUCCCACAAAUAAUUUACACCUUCCUCGGGAGCCAAAGCAUUGACAGCAAAAAUCAUUUCCCACUGAAUAAUAUUUUGGUUUUUUUUUACCCCUUUAAAACGUAUUAAUUCACCAAUUAAAAUGAUUGGUUAGCAAAUCUUUUUUUUAAAAUAUAAAAUUAAUAAAAUUAUCUAACCUAAUGGUCAAUAUGUUUCACUUGGAUUGAAAGGCUAUACAUAAUAGCAAAUUAUGUGUAUAAAAUUCUGACAAUGGAUCAUAAAAUAAUUUCAUUCUUUAUACUUUUUUCGUAAGCCUAUGAGUCACUUUACCUAUAUUUGAAAAUUUCGGUUUCAAUUUUCAAAUUCAAAAUGGUGUUUUGCUAUGAAGAGGAGAUGCAGGGGUGAGAUUGACUUAGGCUUAGCUAAGGGAAUAGAAGGUCUACAUCAUUUUGUUUGCCAAUACUAACUUCACACGGUCCAUUAAUUCAUUGGAUUAGGAAAGAGUGCUGAAUGGUUUGCAAAAUCUAGACCUAGUUUUACUGGCAGAAAAAUCAUUACACGUUCCUUUGAGUGUGUAGUUCUAGUUUUAUUAUGCAGGGUUGGAAUUUCGAAUUCUUGGUAUGCUAUUCAUUUGCGUGGUGCAAGGUCUCCAGAUAUUUGGUAGAACUUGAUAGAUUUUCGUUUUGAGUGUUUUGUGUAACUCGUUUG